UCGAAAGAUGGCAGGGGACUUUCCACAGA
rnacentral:piRNA from 2 species